UGGGUAAUACAUUUGUUCCUGUGGUAUUUUUGUAGUUUUAUGAAUUGGUUUCUGCUUUUAGGCAUGAAUGGCAAUAGCAACCGGACAGGUUAAAUUACUGACCUGCUCCAUCCUGCUCCGCCGGUAUGAGAUGGUGUGCUAAUAAUAACCAUGGUGGAAGUAGGGAUGUUUUUUCAACUAUUGAUAUGCAUCUGGCUUGGAACGGAAGAUGAUUUUUGUAUUCUUGCCUUGGAAACUGGACUUAUUUUAAUUAUGUUUAUUUUAUGGUCUCUAAACGUUGGUUAAAGUUUAGGAACUUUUUGUAAAUAAAAUGCCUUAGCAAAGGACUCGUGUGCAGGCACUAUGAUGAACAGGGAGAGAAUAUCUCUAUGCAAAGAACUCAAUUCUCUCUUUAUUUUCUGAACCUUUGAUAUGGGAUGUGUUUGAACUCAAUUCUCUCUUUAUUUUCUGAACCUUUGAUAUGGGAUGUGUUUGGGACUAUUUGCAUCUCCCAUAAGAUGAAAACGUUGUCAAGUCAUUAAUUUUUUUUUUUUUUUUUGGAUAGAUAAAUUUUUGUCCCCUUUGAGACUUGAACCUGGAACCUCCCAUAAACCCUCCCCAUUCCUUUACCACUUGAGCAAGGCCUCAAAGUCAUUAAUACUUUGAACAUUUUCAAUAUUGGGAAUAAAUGGACACUGAGAAGCUUGUGCUUUCUGUAAUGGAGCUGCUUUCCUUCCUUCCCUUUAUGUUGCCUAUGUGUAACAUGGACAUGGGGCAUAUUCAUCUUUUGUGGGCAGUUAAAUUUUUCAAGACUUGGCUUAAAAUUAGUAAAUUACAACUCAUUGUGUUUUUGAAGUGUUUUCUAGUGUUAUGCAUGUAUUUGGGCCAUAGCUGUUACCCUUUGGAGAAAUUUAGGAUAAUUUGAUAUUAUUUCUUCAAAAAUUUUGGCUUUUCCAUUGAAUCCUUUCUCUGGAUUUAUUUUACACCUGUUUUUGAAGCUUC
rnacentral:lncRNA from 1 species